GUGGGGAAUCUUGCGCAAUGGGCGAAAGCCUGACGCAGCCAUGCCGCGUGAAUGAUGAAGGUCUUAGGAUUGUAAAAUUCUUUCACCGGGGACGAUAAUGACGGUACCCGGAGAAGAAGCCCCGGCUAACUUCGUGCCAGCAGCCGCGGUAAUACGAAGGGGGCUAGCGUUGCUCGGAAUUACUGGGCGUAAAGGGCGCGUAGGCGGACAGCUUAGUCAGAGGUGAAAGCCCAGGGCUCAACCUUGGAAUUGCCUUUGAUACUGGCUGUCUUGAGUACGGGAGAGGUGAGUGGAACUCCGAGUGUAGAGGUGAAAUUCGUAGAUAUUCGGAAGAACACCAGUGGCGAAGGCGACUCACUGGCCCGUUACUGACGCUGAGGCGCGAAAGCGUGGGGAGCAAACAGGAUUAGAAACCCGAGUAGUCC
rnacentral:rRNA from 1 species